rnacentral:rRNA from 1 species
GGUUAAGCGACUAAGCGUACACGGUGGAUGCCCUGGCAGUCAGAGGCGAUGAAGGACGUGCUAAUCUGCGAUAAGCGUCGGUAAGGUGAUAUGAACCGUUAUAACCGGCGAUUUCCGAAUGGGGAAACCCAGUGUGAUUCGUCACACUAUCAUUACGUGAAUACAUAGCGUAAUGAAGCGAACCGGGGGAACUGAAACAUCUAAGUACCCCGAGGAAAAGAAAUCAACCGAGAUUCCCCCAGUAGCGGCGAGCGAACGGGGAGCAGCCCAGAGUCUGAAUCAGCAUGUGUGGUAGUGGAACGGUCUGGAAAGUCCGGCGAUACAGGGUGAUAGCCCCGUACACAAAAGUGCAUGUGUUGUGAACUCGAAGAGUAGGGCGGGACACGUGGUAUCCUGUCUGAAUAUGGGGGGACCAUCCUCCAAGGCUAAAUACUCCUGACUGACCGAUAGUGAACCAGUACCGUGAGGGAAAGGCGAAAAGAACCCCGGCGAGGGGAGUGAAAAAGAACCUGAAACCGUGUACGUACAAGCAGUGGGAGCCUCUUUAUGGGGUGACUGCGUACCUUUUGUAUAAUGGGUCAGCGACUUAUAUUCUGUAGCAAGGUUAACCGAAUAGGGGAGCCGAAGGGAAACCGAGUCUUAACUGGGCGUUAAGUUGCAGGGUAUAGACCCGAAACCCGGUGAUCUAGCCAUGGGCAGGUUGAAGGUUGGGUAACACUAACUGGAGGACCGAACCGACUAAUGUUGAAAAAUUAGCGGAUGACUUGUGGCUGGGGGUGAAAGGCCAAUCAAACCGGGAGAUAGCUGGUUCUCCCCGAAAGCUAUUUAGGUAGCGCCUCGUGAAUUCAUCUUCGGGGGUAGAGCACUGUUUCGGCUAGGGGGUCAUCCCGACUUACCAACCCGAUGCAAACUGCGAAUACCGAAGAAUGUUAUCACGGGAGACA